UCCUCAGUGACUCAGCCAGUAAAGAAUCUGCCUGCAACGCAGGAGACCAAGGUUCGAUCCUUGGUUAGGGAA
rnacentral:tRNA from 1 species